UCUGGGGUCCUGCGCAAUAAGAACCUGUGAACCUCGUCAGGUCCGGAAGGAAGCAGCGAUAAGCGGGACCUCUUAUGUGCCGCAGAUCAGCCUCUUUCAU
rnacentral:SRP_RNA from 1 species